rnacentral:miRNA from 1 species
CUCCCUCCCAAUGGCUGGAAGGGAUUCCCUCCGGUCAAUGAGACUGUACAGUCUCAAUGACCGGAAGGAAUUCCUUCCGGCCAUUGAGAUUGUA